rfam:Triticum urartu cultivar G1812 contig876649, whole genome shotgun sequence.
AAAGUACUCCCUCCGUUCUGAAUUACUUGUCACAAGUAUGGAAUGGAUGUAUCUAGAUGUAUUUUAGUUCUAGAUACAUCCAUUUCCGCGACGAGUAAUUUGGAACGGAGGGAGUAGCUU